UACGGGGGGUGCAAGCGUUGUCCGGAAUCACUGGGCGUAAAGGGCGCGUAGGCGGCGUCGUAAGUCUGUGGUGAAAGCCCGGAGCUCAACUCCGGGUCUGCCGCGGAUACUGCGAGGCUUGAGUGCUGUAGAGGGGGGUAGAAUGCCGGGUGUAGCGGUGGAAUGCGUAGAGAUCCGGCAGAAGACCGGUGGCGAAGGCGGCCCCCUGGGCAGUAACUGACACUGAGGCGCGACAGCGUGGGGAGCAAACAGG
rnacentral:rRNA from 1 species